CUACGGGUCGCUGCAGUGGGGAAUAUUGCACAAUGGGCGCAAGCCUGAUGCAGCCAUGCCACGUGUAUGAAGAAGGCCUUCGGGUUGUAAAGUACUUUCAGCGGGGAGGAAGGGAGUAAAGUUAAUACCUUUGCUCAUUGACGUUACCCGCAGAAGAAGCACCGGCUAACUCCGUGCCAGCAGCCGCGGUAAUACGGAGGGUGCAAGCGUUAAUCGGAAUUACUGGGCGUAAAGCGCACGCAGGCGGUUUGUUAAGUCAGAUGUGAUAUCCCCGGGCUCAACCUGGGAACUGCAUCUGAUACUGGCAAGCUUGAGUCUCGUAGAGGGGGGUAGAAUUCCAGGUGUAGCGGUGAAAUGCGUAGAGAUCUGGAGGAAUACCGGUGGCGAAGGCGGCCCCCUGGACGAAGACUGACGCUCAGGUGCGAAAGCGUGGGGAGCAAACAGGAUUAGAUACCCGCGUAGUC
rnacentral:rRNA from 1 species